AUUGAACGCUGGCGGCAGGCCUAACACAUGCAAGUCGAGCGGAGCGGCGGACGGGUGAGUAAUGCCUAGGAAUCUGCCUGGUAGUGGGGGAUAACGUCCGGAAACGGGCGCUAAUACCGCAUACUAGCAGGUGAGCCUCGGUCGGAUUAGCUAGUUGGUGGGGUAAAGGCCUACCAAGGCGGCGAUCCGUAACCGGUCUGAGAGGAUGAUCAGCCACACUGGAACUGAGACACGGUCCAGACUCCUACGGGAGGCAGCAGUAGGGAAUAUUGGACAAUGGGCGAAAGCCUGAUCCAGCCAUCCCGCGUGUAUGAAGAAGGCCUUCGGGUUGUAAAGUACUUUUGGCAGAGAAGCGGUAUCUGCAGAAUAAGCACCGGCUAACUACGUGCCAGCAGCCGCGGUAAUUC
rnacentral:rRNA from 1 species